UCACUUCUCAAGACAUUAACUGAUGGACUGGAGUGCUGUGGAUCAGCUGUUUGGACUCUCCUUCUGACGGCACCCAUUCACAUCCAUUGGUGAGCGAGUGAUAUAAUGCUACAUUUCUCCAAGUCUGAUGAAGGAACAAACUCAUCUACAUCCUGGAUGGCCUGCGGGCUAAAAAUCAACGGUGGAUUACUUGUGAUGUUUUAAUCUGCUGUUUGGACUCUCAUUCUGACGGCACCCAUUCAUAUCCAUUGGUGAGCAACUGAUGCAAUGCUACAUUUCUCCAAAUCUGAUGAAGAAACAAACUCGUCCACAUCUCGAAUGAUCUAAGAGUCACAUCCCGUGCCAGAUUUGGAAGAAGAGUGGCCCAAACAGAAGGACACGGCUUCAGUCAGACUCACUUUACAAGGCUGUCAAAGACGCAAGCGCCAGCUGCGAGAAAAGACCUGAAACGAGCACGUGGAGAUGGAGAGAUUUUGUGGGCUCGAUGCACGUCUUCACCGGCCUCGUUCUGUCACCGCAAGGGAGGGAUUUAAGGGAACGGGGCAGAUGGACGGAUGAACGAGGAGUAGAGAGAGAGAGAGAGAGAAAGGGCACGUGAGGAGAGCAGUAUCGUGGGGGCGGAGCCUGUCUGCUUUUCCUGCUUUUUCAUUGGCUGGAAGGUCAGAACUGUUCCUUAAAUCCAACCCAGAGACUCUGAUUGGUUGAAUGUGGGUGUUUCUUCAAGUACAGGCACUUUUAUGAACCAAGCGUUGAUUUUUAUUAACUAACAGGCUUUAAUUUUUGUUUCGCUUUUAAAGGUUUGUCCUAGCCCCAACACAUUCAGUCUUACACUAUGAAAAUCCAUUGUAAAAAUGUGAUGAUCUAAACAAAAAGUCACCGUUUCAUUAUUUAUAAUGUGAAAAUGAUUUACACAAUUUCCACUACAGCAAACAGUGACCAAUAUGUGACCCUGGACCACAAAACCAGUCAUAAGGGUCAGUUUUUUAAAUUGGGAUUUAUACAUCAUCAGCUUUCCACUGAUGUAUGGUUAGUUAGAAUAGGACAAUAUUUGGCCAAGAUACAACUAUAUGAAAAUCUAGAAUCUGAGGGUGCAAAAAAAUCUAAAUAUUGAGAAAAUCACCUUUAAAGUUGUCCAAAUGAAAUCAAAAAUUAAGUUUUGAUAUAUUUAUGGUAGGACAUUUACAAAAUUUCUUCAUGGAACAUGAUCUUUACUUAUAUCCUAAUGAUUUUUGGCAUAGAAGGAAAAUCAAUAGUUAUAGUAAAAUCGACAUAAAAUGUGUUGCUGGUUAUUGCUACAAAUAUAUCCAUGCACUUAUGACUGGUUUUGUGGUCCAGGGUCACAUAUUAGACUUGAUGUAUGAAAAAGACAAAUAACAAUAAAUGUAAAUAUCAUUUGUUAGCAGAACUUUCCUGUUGUGCACUUUCAAAAGUGUGAAAAUAUUAUUUUAUUAGUGUUCAGAUGCAUAAAAUGCUUGUGAUGAAAUUAGCUUAAAUGAUGCAAAAUAAAAUGCCAUUUCUACCACAGAAUGAAUCAUCAUUCAAGAUAAAAUGGCAAUGUAUGUCCAUUAUUGGUCGCGGUUAGUAGACAAAUUAAAUAAGAUAGUAAGAGUGGAAACGUCUGUUUUAGAAAAAAAAAAAGUUCAAAAAACUUGCUGGUUGAAGGAAUAGUUUGCACAAAAAUCAAUUCUGUCAAUACUCACCAUGCUGUUUUAGGCAGCUCUUUUUCAUAAUAACAGUAGUCCAUAAGACUUGUGCACUAUAUUCCAAGCCGUGAGAAGUCAUGUGAUGCCUUAUUUAAGGAAGACACUAAAGUUUAAGUUGUUAGUUAACAAAAAUCCUUGCUUUUGUUUCACGUUCAUGUCCAGAAUUAAAAAUUCGGACACGUGAACCAGCGCCAUUUUGGCAUCAAGUACUUGUGCACGCUGUUUACUUCUACAGUUAUUUUAGGUGUUAUCAGUCCUUCUGGGAUUAUUCAGAGAUGUCUACUUUGUGUUCGAGAGAAACAACCGGCAGAAUUCAGCGUUUUGAAAGGUUAACAUGAACUUUUCAAGCAAGGCUUUAAGGCAACCAAAUGAAUGUUUGAUGGAAAGUAGAACUAAAAAUAAAUCCGCUGUCUGUGUUCAGAAACUGUGUGGAAUUCAAACUUCCAAAUACUUUUUCUGGAGAAAGUUGCAUUCUUUUGCUGUGUUUCCACUCAUUCUUUCUUUCUUUCUGGUGGGAUUAUCCGUGUGUGUGUGUGUGUGUGUGAGAAAACACACUGAGUCUGCGCGCUGGGGGAGGAGUAUCUAUGUCACACUCCCUCUCUCUCUCUCCGUCUUUCUCCUCCCGCUCCGUACUUGCAGUUUUUCCGCCCUCCCACUUCUCUCUCUCUUUAUUUGUCUCUCUCUCUCUCUCCCUCUCAAGUGCAAGGCCAUGUGGGACGUCUGAUGAGGAGUUUCACCCCUCUACGUCUCCAGUUUCAUAUCUCUCUUUCCCUCUCCACCGUUCUUUCGCUUUCCAUACGGUUCCUCGAGCUCCGCUGGGUUUGCAAGGUGGAGACCUGCUGGAGACUAGUUUAGAGAGUGUAAGGGGGGAAAAAAGGGGAAAGAAAAAACCAGGCUUCUUUUUUUUGCCGCGAGGGCCUCCUGACUAAAGCGCGACAGAGGCUCCACCACAAGCCUGCCAACACGCUCCAAUUUUCCACCACGUUCCUGCGCUUUUUCGUGCAGCCGAUUGCGGAAUUUUAGCAAGGUUUGCGAUCUGCGUUUGGUUCGCGAAUUGCCUAUUUUGACAUUUUCUUUUUCGAUUUCAGUGAGCGGCCGAAUCCACCUUGACCCGCAGCCCACGCCACCGCAGCACCAGGCCCCUCGGAGCGCCGAAAACCUGCCCGAUUUGCCAUUUGGAAGUACUGACCUGCGACUUACCCGUUCCCAAUCAGUUCGGACAGGAGAUUCAGGACUGAAGCUGCUCCGCUUUGGGACGGAGGCCAAUCGCUCACAAAAGGCGAGUGAAAAUAUCAGUGAUCUGCAUGAGGAAAUGUUGGGGGUGAGUGGAAAACGCAAACUCGCAUGCGUCCGUGCAACUAUUGCAGAAAAAAGUGAAGGAUGGUUGCGAGGGGAGGGGAAGACACAGAAAAAGAGGAUCGUGAAAGAGGAGGUGGGGGCAUUUAUUCAAGCCUGCCUGAUGCUCCUCGGGCCUUCGAGAGCCGAUCGCAUGUGCCGUGGUAACCGCGGGACCAUUUGCAUGUGGCAGACACGCUAAUUGUGUGUUUGCUAACACGCACCAUUCAGCAAGACGCGCUCCGGUCCACAGACGGGGUUCACACACGCCUCCCAGACGCCCCGGAGGCCUCCUAUUGUUCCAGAGGCCCAGCCGAGCAGCCGGCGAGCCUAACCAGAGCCCUGCGCGGGCCUGCCGAGAGGGGCAACUGGAAUUCGAGACCAGACGGGAUAGCGGAACGGGACAGACUCGCAAGCCCCUCUCUCUCUUUCUCUCCGCAGCAAGAAAAAAGAGGCCUGUGGAAAGCGCUGCCUCCGGACGCUGACGUCCUCGCAGAUGUGUGCACAAGUGAAGUUUGAAAUGGACAAACCAAGAUGCAGCCCUGCACAGACGGAAGGAGAGACGCACGGCGAUCGGACCGAGAUGAGUUUGAAACGCUUCUCCUCGUGAAAGGUGCCGGUUCAAAUGCACACACACAAUCUUUCACUAACGUGUUUGUCAUUUCCGCUCUCCAUGUUGUGAUUUUGUGAGUUUGGACCCAACAGGUGCUGUUGAAGACCUGAGACCCCUGCUUUUAUAUGACUGGUGUGAUGUAUUGAGUUUAUUUUCAGACGGGCUGAAGCGAGGACGUCUCUCCAGCGUAUCCCACUGUCCUUUGGGGUGAGGUAGUAGGUUGUAUAGUUUUAGGGUGACACCCUUCCUGUUAGAUAACUAUACAACUUACUGUCUUUCCUGAAGAGGCUGUAAUAUCACCAUCAUCUUCCUCUUUAAGCUCGACGACGGAUGGACGCAAAAUGUGGACUAGUAUUAUGGAUAAACUAUUAUAGUUUUUGCUAAUAUUUUGAAUUAGAUUUUAUUUUUGUAAUAUUUUUAGUUUUUUUUUAGUAUGUUUAUAAAGGUUAUUAAUUUUUAUUUAUUCAUUUCAGUUUAUUUUGCAUUUUUGAUGUGUGAAAUGUGCCAAGUAGCGGAAAUAAUGUGGUUUUUUUAUUUAUAUUUUUAUUUGUUUUAAUAAUGAGGUGUGUGUGUGUUAUUUUAUGCAUUUUAUAUAUUUUAAUAUAUUUUUAGGUUCAUUUUAAUUUUAGUUACAGUUUGGUGUGUUUUUGUCAUUUAAUUAGGUUUUUACAUACUUUUUUAUUUAUCAGUUUUAGUUUAUUUAUGUUUUAUUUUAAUAUUUGAGGUUAAACUAAACAAAAAUGAGAAUGUUAAAAGCUAAAAAAGCAAAUAAAAUAGGUUUGUUUUGUUAUAUUUUAUUUUAAUAAAUGUAUUUUUAUAUUCAUUUUAUAAAAUUAAGUAUUUUAUUUAAUAACAUUUUAUAUUAAUAAAUAUAUUAAUUUUAAAUACUUUAUUUUUUAUGUUUACAGUUUUAUUACUUUUUACUUAUUCGUUUUGUUUUUAAUUUGUUAUUUUAAUACUUCAAGUCAAACUAAACAAAAAUGAGAAUGUUAAGCUGAAAAAAGCAAAUAACAUCGGUUUGAUAUUUAUUUUAAUAAACUUUUUUUUUUUUUAUUAAUUUUAUAAAAUUAAAUGUUUUAUUUUUAUACAUUUUUAUUUAUUUAUUAUUUAAAGAUAAAAUAAAUAAAUUUUAUAUAUUUUAAUUUUUUAUGUUUAUAUAGUUUUGUUACUUUUUAUGUAUUCGUUUUGUUUUUAAUUUGUUAUUUUAAUUUUUCAGGUUAAACUAAACAAAAAUGAGAAUGCUAAAAGCUGAAAAAUGCAAAUAAAAUAGGUUUGUUUUGUUAUUUCAUUUUAAUAAACAUUUAUUUUUAUAUUAAUUUUAUCAAAUUAAAUAUUUUAUUUAUAACAUUUUAUUUUUUUAUUUAAAUUAAUUGUAGAUAUUAAAAAGUGUAUGUUUACAUAGUUUUAUUAAUUUUUACUUUUUUUAAUUUGUUAUUUUAAUACUUCAGGUUAAACUAAACAAAAAUGAGAACACUGAAAGCUGAUAAAAUAGGUUUGUUUUGUUUUGUUAUAUUUUAUUUUAAUAAACAUUUAUUUUUAUAUUAUUUUUGAAAAUUAUAUAUUUUAUUUUAUUUUUUUUCAAAUAUAAAUUAAUAAAUUGUAGAUAUAAUUUUUUUUUUACUUUUUUAAUUUGUUAUUUUAAUACUUCAGGUUAAACUAAACAAAAAUGAGAACGUUGAAAGCUGAUAAAAUAGAUUUGUUUUGUUAUAUUUUAUUUUAAUAAACAUUUAUUUUUAUAUUAAUUUUAGAAAAUUAUAUAUUUUAUUUUUUUUUCAAAUAUAAAUUAAUAAAUUGUAGAUAUAUUUUUUUUACUUUUUUAAUUUGUUAUUUUAAUACUUCAGGUUAAACUAAACAAAAAUGAGAACGUUGAAAGCUGAUAAAAUAGAUUUGUUUUGUUAUAUUUUAUUUUAAUAAACAUUUAUUUUUUAUUUAUAUUAAUAUUUAUAUUAAUUUUAAAAAAUAUUUUAUUUUAUAAAAAAAUAUAUUAAAAUAUAAAUAAAUGUUAUAUUUUUUAAUAAUUAUUUUUAUAUAUUUAUUACAUAUUUUAAUUGUAAUAAUUUUUAGAUAUUUAAUAAAUGUUCAUAUAUUUUUUAGAUAUAAUAUUUUUAUUUUUAUUUUAUUUUUUAUAUUUCAAUAUAGUUAUACAUUUUAUAAUGUUUAUUUAUUUAUAUAUUUUUUUCAUUUUAUUAUUUAUUUAUUUAUUAUUAUUUAUUAUUUUUUUAAAUAAAAUAUUUUUGUGAUAUUUAUUUAAUCUUUUUUUUUAUGCCUGUAAACUAUAAUAACCCUGCCGCAGCACAGCUAGACCAGACUGGGUUGGCCGGAUGAAGUCUCUGAAAUGGACAACAUCCAUCACUGAAAUAUUAAAACUCAUUAAAACUGAAUUACACGACGUGCAUAUUGGGAUCGAAUGAUUAGUUGAUUUCUCGAUUUUGAUUUGAUGAUAUUAAAUGAUUUCCCAAAAGAUCUUUUGUUAAAGAAACAUUUCAGAUGACCAUGAUUGAUUUUCCCCGCGGCUUCCGCUGCAGUUUUUUUUUCGAAGAAAGUUUUCGCAGAUGUGCGCUUUGCAAAAAUAUAUGAUCAUUUUUCAUCCACAUUAUGCAAGUCCCGAGAACAUUUCUGCAUCUCGAGGUCUCAGGAUUCAUUUCGAGCACGAUCUUUGCCAUGAAGUUGAUUUUUCUGGCAGGCUUGUGGUCUCGGGACACGCGGUCGGGACGCUCCUGAUGUUCGUACAGGGUGAGGUAGUAGGUUGUGUGGUUUCAGGGUAGUGAUUUUGCCCCAUCAGGAGAUAACUAUACAACCUACUGCCUUCCCUGGAGGGCAGCGAUACAGCAGCGCUCAACCAGCAGGAGGCGCCACAUCUACUGCCAUCAGGACUGACAGGUACAUUCAUAGAAUUACAUUCAAUCAACAACGCAUAAAUAUUAUCACAUUUUAAUCACACAAAGAUCAUUUUUCAUUUUGGACUUAUGUAGAAUGGAAAGAUGGAACCAUAGAUGCCAAUAAAAGAUUUAAUUUUGCUUUAAUUAAGCAUUAUGAUCUAUCAUUGUUUUUAUUUUUUUUUUUUUUUUAUCUUAUUACAGUUGAUUAAUAAUAAGAUGAACAAAACUUUUAUUUAUUAGUAAUAUUAUAUUUGAUUAUAAUAUGCUAUUUUAUAUUAUUAUUAUUUUUAUAACAUUAUUUCAUGAUUUUAUAAUUUAUUAUAAUUAAUAAAUUGUUAAAUUAUUACAAUAUUUAUUAAAUUGCGAACAGAUUGCAAAAUACCUAAAAAAUAUAUACAUUGUGUUUUUCAUUUUAUAUUAAACUAUUUUUAAUUCUAUUAAUGUGUUUAAUUUUAUUUAUCAUAUUAUUAAUCAACUGUAAUCAUAAAAUUAAUAGAAAAUGACUUAAUGACUAAUACUAAUAAUUAAUGAUAAGUAAUAAAUGAUAUUAAAUAGGAUUAGUAAUUAAUAAAUGGUAAAAUAUUAUAUUUUAUAUAACAUUUUUAUGAUUU